rnacentral:lncRNA from 1 species
UCAAGGAUAAUGUUACCCCUGAUUUGCCGGUAAAGAAAUGAGAGAAAAACAUGAACUGAAUUGACCUCGGGUAAAGCCGAGGGGUUUCAUGUCUCACAGCCCAGGGAAUGAAUGGUGCACCCCGAGUCCGGAUACGGUAGAGCAUCGAGUCUAAUAAGAGUGUAGGGCCGAGGCUAAGGAAAAAAUGGUUAGACACGAUAAGCGGGGAGCCGUAAUAUCUGCCAUCAACCGGAUGUUACAGUGCAAUCG